rnacentral:rRNA from 1 species
AUUCGGUACAUCGGUGACAGGUGGUGCAUGGUUGUCGUCAGCUCGUGUCGUGAGAUGUUCGGGUUAAGUCCCGCAACGAGCGCAACCCCUAUGUUAGUUGCCAUCAUUCAGUUGGGCACUCUAGCGAGACUGCCGGUAAUAAACCGGAGGAAGGUGGGAUGACGUCAAAUCAUCAUGCCCCUUAUGACCUGGGCUACACACGUGCUACAAUGGUUGGUACAACGAGUUGCGAGUCGGUGACGGCGAGCUAAUCUCUUAAAGCCAAUCUCAGUUCGGAUUGUAGGCUGCAACUCGCCUACAUGAAGUCGGAAUCGCUAGUAAUCGCGGAUCAGCACGCCGCGGUGAAUACGUUCCCGGGCCUU